CAUAGAGGUGCGAUAAGCAUCAGUAUGAUCGGUUUUUAUGCGUGGACGACGCAGACCGUUCGGAAAGGGCAUUAUCGCCGAAGACCGAAUCUGGUCCGGAUUCGGUUUGGUCAAAAGGGCUAAUACCCUUCGACUGUCACCGAUUCGGUGGAGUGCUAUGAG
rnacentral:ncRNA from 1 species